AUCAUUCACAAUGGGGGAAACCCUGAUGGUGCGGCGCCGCGUGAAGGAAGAAGUAUUUCGGUAUGUAAACUUCUAUCAGCAGGGAAGAAAAUGACGGUACCUGACUAAGAAGCCCCGGCUAACUACGUGCAAGCAGCCGCGGUAAUACGUAGGGGGCAAGCGUUAUCCGGAUUUACUGGGUGUAAAGGGAGCGUAGGCGGUCUGACAAGUCAGAAGUGAAAGCCCGGGGCUCAACCUCGGGACUGCUUUUGAAACUGCCGGACUAGAUUGCAGGAGAGGUAAGUGGAAUUCCUAGUGUAGCGGUGAAAUGCGUAGAUAUUAGGAGGAACACCAGUGGCGAAGGCGGCUUACUGGACUGUAAAUGACGCUGAGGCUCGAAAGCGUGGGGAGCAAACA
rnacentral:rRNA from 1 species